GUGAGUAACACGUGAGCAACCUGCCCUAGGCUUUGGGAUAACCCUCGGAAACGGGGGCUAAUACCGGAUACAACCUUUGGUCGCAUGACUGGGGGUGGAAAGUUUUUCGGCCUGGGAUGGGCUCGCGGCCUAUCAGCUUGUUGGUGGGGUGAUGGCCUACCAAGGCGACGACGGGUAGCCGGCCUGAGAGGGCGACCGGCCACACUGGGACUGAGACACGGCCCAGACUCCUACGGGAGGCAGCAGUGGGGAAUAUUGCACAAUGGGCGGAAGCCUGAUGCAGCGACGCCGCGUGAGGGAUGACGGCCUUCGGGUUGUAAACCUCUUUCAGCAGGGACGAAGCGCAAGUGACGGUACCUGCAGAAGAAGCGCCGGCCAACUACGUGCCAGCAGCCGCGGUAAGACGUAGGGCGCGAGCGUUGUCCGGAUUUAUUGGGCGUAAAGAGCUCGUAGGCGGCUUG
rnacentral:rRNA from 1 species